rnacentral:rRNA from 1 species
UACGUAGGGACCGAGCGUUGUCCGGAUUCAUUGGGCGUAAAGAGCUCGUAGGCGGCCACUCAAGUCGAAUGUGAAACCUCGAGGCUUAACCUCGAGCCUGCAUUCGAUACUGGGCGGCUAGAGUCUGGCAGAGGGGGUAGAAUUCCACGUGUAGCAGUGAAAUGCGUAGAGAUGUGGAGGAACACCGAUGGCGAAGGCAGCCCCUGGGUCAAGACUGACGCUCAUGCACGAAAGCGUGGGGAGCAAACAGG